CGUGCCUAAUACAUGCAAGUCGAGCGAACGGACGAGAAGCUUGCUUCUCUGAUGUUAGCGGCGGACGGGUGAGUAACACGUGGAUAACCUACCUAUAAGACUGGGAUAACUUCGGGAAACCGGAGCUAAUACCGGAUAAUAUUUUGAACCGCAUGGUUCAAAAGUGAAAGACGGUCUUGCUGUCACUUAUAGAUGGAUCCGCGCUGCAUUAGCUAGUUGGUAAGGUAACGGCUUACCAAGGCAACGAUGCAUAGCCGACCUGAGAGGGGGAUCGGCCACACUGGAACUGAGACACGGUCCAGACUCCUACGGGAGGCAGCAG
rnacentral:rRNA from 1 species